AAGCAUUUUAUGAUUCCUGUGUUACAGGUGAGGAAACUGAGGCUUAACUAAGUGACAUGCUUUUAGGUUCCAGAGAUGCAGCAAGCACAACCAAAUCUCAAAUCCAGGGCCAUCAAAUUUUGAUGGCUCGUGCCUCUUUUUUGGUGGGGGAAGGGUACCAGGGAUUGAACUCAGAGGCACUCAGCCACUGAGCCACAUCCCCAGCACUAUUUUGUAUUUUAUUUAGAGACACGGUCUCACUGAGUUGCUUAGUAACUUGCUUUUGCUCAGGCUGGCUUUGAACUUGAGAUCCUUCUGCCUCAGCCUCCCAAUGGGAUUACUUGCACAUGCACCAGCUGGUUAGUGCUCUUAAUGACUGUGAUUACUUAAUAAUAGCAGGAAGCACUGAACAAUAGAAAAAGCAUCUUUAGAUUUUUUUAUUGUAAAAUACACAUAAAUUUGCCAUUUGAACCAUUUUUAAGUGUACAGUUCAGUGGUACUAAUAUAUUCACAUUGUUCUGUGACUAUGCUCAAGUGUCCAUUUCCAGAACCUUUUCAUUAUCCUGUAAUAAAACUUACAGACUUUAAACUCCUUCUGUUUUAAUAUGUGGAUACCACCCACUCAGAGCAUACAGACCUCAUAAGUGAGGGUGGCACUGUCAUGUCCUUUCUGCCUUUAGGGCCUCCUGGGAUCUUGUUCAGCUUAGAGCCUUCAGACCGAAUGUUCCAGCUUCCUGGGGGCACUGAAGCAAGGGUCUCCUGAGAAGAGGUUGCUGUUUCUAGAGUACCCAGAGUACUUAUUGCCCUGCUACCCAAUAAUGUGGUAGAAAUUGUUCAUUGGAAAGUUGUCUUAGGACACUUGGAAACAGAUGCGAGCAAGGGGAACGGGCAUCAUGAAGAUUCCUAUUAGAG
rnacentral:lncRNA from 1 species